CUGACGGCGCCAUCCAGAAACCAAGACCAAACAGUGCUUCAUAUAGAAGCUGCUCCACUAUCCAGGAUCCCAGGACAAAGACAACAUGGAGUAAAGCCAUGGCCAGCUCAGGAUGCAUAUGUCGCAUGAGACCGGAAGUGGUGUAUGAAUUUUCCAGAGCUGCUGUAACAAAGUACCACAAACUAGGCGGCUGAAUCCAACGGAAAUGUAUCGCUUCACAGUCCUGGAAGCUAGAAGUCUGAAA